rnacentral:lncRNA from 1 species
GCAGUAGUGAAGGAAUAUUUACCAGAAAAUAGGUUUUUCAGUUUGAGAAAAUGUCGCAAGCCAGAGAGCAGUUUGGACUAGUCCCAAGGAGCAAAGUUCCUCAUUGCCUGGAUGGAGACUGAGAAAAGACGAUUUUUUCUUGUGUUUCUGGGCAUUACUCCCAGACUCCCCUAAUUUUUGAAAUCGAGCUUCUGGGAACACUAAGUGCACACAUGUCUCCCCAAUCCCCAACACUCAUGUGCACACACCCAUUCCAUGGAACUCAACCACACCCAGCCUUGUGAGCAAAAUCUGAAAGUGGGAGGCGACACGGAGAAAUGCGCAGUAGAACCACAUCAGAACAGUUUUUAGUAUGGGUUUUGUGCCACUGAAAAACAGCGCAGGAGAGCUGUCCUUACAAGAGAGAUGCUGGAGAUAUUUCUGGUGCAUUGAUUUGGAAAUCAUCAAGUAGAAUCCUAAAUGCCAAGGCCUGAAAACCUGUCUCCACUGUUCUUUCCUUCCCUUUUAAGGCUGGCAGAACUGCAAGCUGGGAUAACACCAAGGACUGGAAUUCCCCAAACUGAACUUUUGAACUAAGACAUCUUUUAUUCCUAGGCAUACCCUCAAGAGAUGUAAAAACAAGUCCACAUAAGAGCCCCUCAAAGAUAUGAGGAUCCUCUUGACUAGAAUUGAAUGAGAGAACGAACACAUAGUUAAUUUUGAAUUUCAGAUAAACAACAAAUAACUUCCAUGAUAUAGGUAUACCCCAAAUAUUGUGUAAGACAUAUGUAUACUAAAAAUUAUUAUUUAUAUAAUGUGAUGUCUUGUAAUUUUAUUUGCUAAAUCUGGCAGCUGUAUAUUGAUAGGACCCCAAACCCAUCUGUGGUUAGGAGUCUGGGAUUCUAAGAGCUCUAAUUAUAGGAAGCUGAGUCCAG